UUCCGGUUGAUCCUGCCGGACCUGACUGCUAUCGGAUUGAUACUAAGCCAUGCGAGUCUUUGUAGUAAUACAAGGCAGACGGCUCAGUAACACGUAGUCAACCUACCCUAUGGACAAGAAUAAUCUCGGGAAACUGGGCAUAAUUCUUGAUAGAUCAUAAUGCCUGGAAUGGUUUAUGGUUAAAAUGAUUCGUCGCCAUAGGAUGGGACUGCGGCCUAUCAGCUUGUUGGUGAGGUAAUGGCCCACCAAGGCGAUUACAGGUACGGGCUCUGAGAGGAGAAGCCCGGAGAUGGGUACUGAGACACGGACCCAGGCCCUAUGGGGCGCAGCAGGCGAGAAAACUUUGCAAUGUGCGAAAGCACGACAAGGUUAAUCCGAGUGAUUUCUGCUAAAGAAAUCUUUUGCCAGUCAUAAAACCACUGGUGAAUAAGGGGUGGGCAAGUUCUGGUGUCAGCCGCCGCGGUAAAACCAGCACCUCAAGUGGUCAGGAUGAUUAUUGGGCCUAAAGCAUCCGUAGCCGGCUUUGUUAGUUUUCGGUUAAAUCCAUGUGCUCAACGCAUGGGCUGCCGAAAAUACUGCAUGGCUAGGGAGUGGGAGAGGUAGACGGUACUCAGUAGGAAGGGGUAAAAUCCUUUGAUCUAUUGAUGACCACCUGUGGCGAAGGCGGUCUACCAGAACACGUUCGACGGUGAGGGAUGAAAGCUGGGGGAGCAAACCGGAUUAGAUACCCGGGUAGUCCCAGCUGUAAACGAUGCAGACUCGAUGAUGCAUUGGCAUAAUAGCCAGUGCAGUGUCGCAGGGAAGCCGUUAAGUCUGCCGCCUGGGGAAGUACGUACGCAAGUAUGAACUUAAAGGAAUUGGCGGGGGAGCACCACAAGGGUGAAGCCUGCGGUUCAAUUGGAUUCAACGCCGGAA
rnacentral:rRNA from 1 species